GAACCCCAAGCUCAUGACUUGAGCUAAAGUUGAAUGCUUAACCAACUGAGCCACCGCGGCGCCCCUCAAGGCAAGACUUCUUAACUUGGGGAUUCUGCACUCGUGGAUGGGCAUCAGGGAUCCUAGAACCUUAGGAAAUUGUGGGGCAAAGUUGUAUGUUGCAUGAGCACCUGUGCUUCUUGUCUAGGAGGAGGUACUUCAUAAGAUCCAUUACUUUCUCUAAGCACUCAUGAUCAAAGAAAUAUUGUAGGCCCCCACUGUGAAAGGGAAAAGCCAGCAACAGUCUCAAUGGGGCUUUGCUUGGAGCCAGGAACUGGAAACAGUGUCCUACUGAGAAGCUUUGAGAUUCUGUAGAAGUCAAAACCAAGAGUUUGAGUUCCCCACUGACACGCAGAACUUUCCAGAGAAGUGUCAUCACCGUGGAUCAGCAGAGGCCUGGCUCCGUCAGCCUCUGCCCCGGGAUGGCAGGUUGUCUGGGUUAGCAGGCCCAGCCAGGGAAAGGUUAGGUGAGGCACAUCUCCCUGUAACAGUGUCAGUAGGAAGAGAAUCACUUUUGAGCUUCUGUCCCUGGAGGUUUACAGUGGUAACAGGAAGCUACAAUUUCCAGGCAGAUGACAGCUCUCUGGAAGGAUUUGUACCAUUGUACUUUUAGCCCAACCCAGCAGAGUCACUCAGCAUCAAACAGGCUUGUCAGCGAGGCAGCUUGUGGGCAAGGCCGUGAGAAAACCCUUCAUUUCCUCCCGGUUGUCAAGUCGUUUCAAAGCUUGCCCGGCAGGCCCUGCCAUCAUGGACACCGGCUGGGGUGACGGAGGGCGGGGAAGGCAGCAAUGCCGGUGACGAAAUUGAGGUUUCUGGGCAGAUCCUUUGAUUCACAGAAAAUAGUUGUGCUGGAGGCUGGUCUGGUCAUUAGUGGUGUGUUUUGCAUGAUGAUUCUCUUUGAUUAAAGAGAGACAGAGUCCCGUGUGGAAUAGUCAGGAUUAGGUCUGUCUGCACGUGACGGAAAGUUGAGGACAACAGUGGUUUAAACGUCGUAGACAUUGCUCCCUGUCACGUAAACCCACGCUGGAGCUGAGCAAUCCAGGGUUGGUUUGGCAACUGUGUGCUCAGCAAACCUAGGGACCCACCAAACCUGGGAACCUACUCCAUGACCCAGGAUGGCUCCCUAACCUCCAGUCUGGGGGAAGUGGAAGAGGGGAAGAAAGGACCCCCCUUAUUUUAAGGACAUUUGCUCAGAGGUCUCGUGUCACAAUUCUGUUUGCAUGCCAUUGUCCAGAGCGCACUGACUACUCGUCAACUCAUGUGGUUGGAAUACGGUCUUUAACUCGGGCAUCUAGUGACAUACCGGGGGUCCUGUUUUGUAUACAUAUGGACAACUCGAUGUCUCUCUACACCGUGUCCUCAGAAAAGAUGGAGUGCUUUGAUGCUGUUCAGAUAACUCCAGAGACCUUAGCAAACCUGGAUCUACCUUUAUCUCUUUAGAUGAGGUAGGUCAUUCUUUUCUUGCCUUAGAGAGCAACUUUAUAGAGGUGGUCUCCUUCACUUUUGUCAGUAGGCGUGUGAGAAGCAAGACUUCUUCAUUCACUCAUUCAUUCGUUCACUCGUAUAGGUACUGUCCUGUCAGAGACGAUCAGCCGUUCACCACAUUUAUACUUCCUAUCCAAAGGGGACACUUAUUCCUAGAAAGUGGUCAUCCUCCCGGAGGCUAGAUGUCUCAGCCUCCCGCAUCGAGGUGGGUCCAUAAGACCAGCUUCUGCCAAUGGUAUGUGGACACAGGAGACGCGUCCCUUCGGGGAGGAGGUGGUUAAAAGCUGUCUUCGUCCCCUAGUUUCUUAUCUGCCUCCAGAAGCUGGAGACCCGGAGGCCUCGCAGGUGGCAGAGACACACAUGGAAGGAGCUCGGGCAUCAGAAUCACCCCAGGAAAAGCUGCCCACCAAAUGUCUGCAUGGGACUGUUACGUUCACAAGGACUCCGCUCUCAGCUUGAGCUCCGGGUACAAGAGUGUGCCUCCUGGUGCCUGCUGUAAUACGACCGUUAGGUUGAGAGCUCAGCUCUCACAUCAAAUAGAACUAGAUUCGAAUGCCAUGUGGUGGACUUCCCAGCCACGAGAUGGAGAUUUCAGGUUGUGGGUCUCUCUGCUGAUGGUCAUCAGUGAUUCUGUAUAGCAGAUGUCCCCUUCCCCACCACGUUGUGAUAGGCAGAAUAAUGGCCCCUGAAGAUGUCCCCGUCCCAAUCCCUGGAGACUGUCAAUGUGCUACCUUACAUGGCAAAAAGAAUUUUGCAGCUGUGAUUAGGUUAAGGACUUCGCGAUGGGGAGAUUAUCAUGGAUUACCAAAGUGGGCCCAGUGUAAUCACAAUGGUCCUUAAAGAUGGGAGAAGACAGCGAGUCAGAGAACGAGAUGACAGACAGGUGUUGGAGUGAUAUGACUGCUGGCUUGGAAGACAAAGAAGACCACGAGCCAAGGGGUGCAGGCAGCUUCCACAGCUGGAAAAGGCAAGGAACGGACUCUCCCCUGGAGCCUUUAGAGGGAGCACAGUCCCGCAACAUUUGGUUCCAGCCCAGCGAGACCCACAUCCGACUCGUCUCCUACAGAGCUGUAAAUGGUAAGUUUAUAUGGCUGGUCGUGAAGUUGGCGGUAAUUUGUUACAGCAGCAACGAGAAGCUAAAUCACACCCUCUCCCCAACGCGCUGUGUUGCAAUGUGCCUGUGAAGCUCUUUCCCGAAGUAGGAGGGAAGCUCUGAGAGCGGAGUCACAGUGAAAGAAGACAAGUGGAGCUAACGUGAGCUCACCGUUGCACCCACAGGGAAAGCUGCUUCACGCCCCGGGCUCUCAGGGGGGGUGACCCCACCCUCCGUGGAUCCUCCUCGACUCCUGACCAGACUUUCACCUUUGUUUUGGGUCCUGGAUACCUCAUGGUCCGCCCCUGCCCCAGCCCUUGCCACUGCAGGCUGUGAGCCUGCCAGAUCCUACAGUAGGUGACCUUUAAGUAAGAGCUCCUCUCCUAGAUCCCUAUUGGCAGGGCUCUGGCUUUGAACUUGAGCAGCAGAGGAUUCCGCACUUGGGACGGAAGCUUUGGAAUGUUCCUGCCCCUCCCACCCCUUCCAGACAGCAACGUGAAAGGGCUGCACUGGCUUUUUUUUUUUUUUUUUUUUAGGUGAAAUU